rnacentral:lncRNA from 1 species
CAGAGGACACCAUGUUUCAAGGAGGUUUGUGGCUGACAGCAACACUGUUGCUCUGAACUAUCAACCUGAGGGGUGGUGAGGACCUCCGAGGAUAACAAUGGCUAUCACUGCAACAUUGCUUGUUGCCCUUGAUGAUGAUGGCAAAAAUCCUGUGCUUCAGAAGGUCUCCAGUUGUCAGUAGACUCUCACUUUUUCAAAGCUUGGGCAUCAUCUGACAAAGAGAAGGAUUAUGAAGAACUGAGUCUGCUGGAGAUUUCAGUCUGACCUCUGAGAACUAUGGGAAUUACUAGGAAGAGACGUGUGGUCCUGCCAUCAGGAGAAUAUUCUCCAUGAUCAUGGAAAAUGUGUGUGUAUGUAUGCAGGGCCUGUGUAUUCUAGCUUUAUGGACUUCUCCAGAAGCAUUCUGAUGGCUGCUGCUAGAAUCCUGAAUUUAGGAAGGAUGUGGUCAGAAGAUGAUGAUUUAUGGUGCUGAAGAUGGAUUCACAAGUUCACAAGUAACGCAGAUGCCAUUGGGAGCAAGAGAGCAUCUCCGGAGAAGGUUCAGCCCAAGGAAAAGAGAAAAAAGUGAGAUCUGCUUUCUCCCAGCCAUAAAUGAGAUUUUGAGAGCAGGAAGCAGGCAAUGACCUGUCGUUCUGAUAAAAAUUCACUCAGGGAGCGGCUUACUGUCAUAUUCCAGUAAGUUUGCCUGGAGGAUGUCUGUGUUUGAACUUAUACGAUGCCUUCAGCCUCCUCUUAGUUAUGUGACAUCUGUGCUCGGGUGGCUUUGCAAGCCAGGAAGUUGCCUCAUCAUUGGAGAACUGGGUUCUGUAUAUGGA